GUUUCCAGUGCAGGCGUUCUUCACGACUCAAAGUCGCUGUCGCUGCUGACGGAUAUGUCUGGUGUGGAGGCCCCGGUCCCCGCGGCCCCGUGCCCGAGCUGCAGUCGCUGUUCUCCCCUGGGCUCCCGGGACGAUGCGACGCCGCUCUGUCCCGCUGUCUUCUGUUUUUGAACCAAUUGCCCACCUGAGUGGGUGUGAGUCCUGUGGCCUGGGCCAGGUGACGCUUUCUGGAGGGGUUUGGAUAGGGAUCCUGCAGAUGGUCCGAGGAAGGGGGAACUUCUUCCGGAUGCGGUACUUCUCCACCGGGCCCAGGGGCCUCCCCCGCAGGCGCUCCGCCUCGCGGUAGUGCGCGUCCAGCCACAGGUCCUGCAGCUUGGCGUGGGACUCCCGAGUGAAGCGGUGGCUCUGCAGGAUCUGAUAGAGAGCCUCGAAGUUCCCGCCGUGGAAGGCGACGAGAGCGCGGGCGCGCAUCACCGACUCGUGCCGGUUGAGCAGCUCUCCGGCGGAACCGGGCACCGCGGCGGGCAGCGACCAGAGGAAGCGACCCAAGCGCUCCAUAUCUCCAGUCUCCUCCAGAUUCUCGCAGACUCGAGCCACCUGCUCAGGUGUGAACAGCGGCAGAGGAAACAUGGCUAUGUUUAAGGGAUGCGUUUGGCGCGUCUGUUUAUAUCACCAUUGCGCGCAAGUUUAGCUUUACACUCACUCCAGGAUGCACCCGUUAUAUAACGCACCGCUAAAGCGACCGACUUCCCGGUAGGAUCUGGGGGGAAUCGCGGAACGGCGGUGUCUUCCAGUUCUAGUAAAGGAGGAGCGGCAGAAGUCAAGCCUAUUUAUAGAGAGAUUGAAUUAGCAUCUUUGCUUGUUUUGAGGAGGAUUAAGCGCCGCUCGGCGGGGGGCUGCUCGCGGAGGGACGGACGGGAUGAUCGGGUUGUUUGACUAACUGUGGAGCACAUUAACUGUCUCAGACUUAUUUCAUUCUGCUGGAUGAAUGGAAACCUGAUGCAGCCAGUGAAACCAGUUCUGGUUUAUGUAACACAUGCUAAUGCUCAGCGAUGUGAGACUUUAGUGAUAUUAUUAACGCUAUUUUAACUAUACACUCUUAAAAAUGUAUUUUGCUGGUGUUGAUUGUUCCUUGAACAUCCAUGGAACCUCUCCAUUCCACAAACUGUUCUUUACAGUGGAAAAAGAUUCUUAAAAAGUUCCUAACACUAAGAAAAGUGGUUCUUUUAAGGAACUGUUUGCUUCUUUGAGAAACCAAAGGUGGUUCUUCUGUGGCGUUGCUGUGAAAACCCACUUCUGAAACCUUUUAGUAUAUUAGUGGUUAUGAAAGGUUAAGUAUAUUAUGAAACCUUUCAAAGGUUUGUAAAUGCACCUUACUGUUCUUAUUUUAGAUAUCAAUGAUCUUGUAGGAUGCAGAAAUAUAUCAAUUUCAUUCUUGCA